rnacentral:rRNA from 1 species
AGAGUUUGAUCCUGGCUCAGAUUGAACGCUGGCGGAAUGCUUUACACAUGCAAGUCGAGCGGCAGCGCGGGGGCAACCCUGGCGGCGAGCGGCGAACGGGUGAGUAAUACAUCGGAACGUACCCAGUGGUGGGGGAUAACACAUCGAAAGAUGUGCUAAUACCGCAUACGACCUGAGGGUGAAAGGGGGGGAUCGCAAGACCUCUCGCCGUUGGAGCGGCCGAUGUCGGAUUAGCUAGUUGGUGGGGUAAAGGCUCACCAAGGCGACGAUCCGUAGCUGGUCUGAGAGGAUGAUCAGCCACACUGGGACUGAGACACGGCCCAGACUCCUACGGGAGGCAGCAGUGGGGAAUUUUGGACAAUGGGGGCAACCCUGAUCCAGCCAUUCCGCGUGAGUGAAGAAGGCCUUCGGGUUGUAAAGCUCUUUCGGCAGGAACGAAACGGCGGGCUCUAACAUAGCCUGUCAAUGACGGUACCUGAAGAAGAAGCACCGGCUAACUACGUGCCAGCAGCCGCGGUAAUACGUAGGGUGCGAGCGUUAAUCGGAAUUACUGGGCGUAAAGCGUGCGCAGGCGGUUUCGUAAGACAGAUGUGAAAUCCCCGGGCUUAACCUGGGAACUGCGUUUGUGACUGCGAGACUCGAGUGUGGCAGAGGGGGGUGGAAUUCCACGUGUAGCAGUGAAAUGCGUAGAGAUGUGGAGGAACACCGAUGGCGAAGGCAGCCCCCUGGGUUAACACUGACGCUCAUGCACGAAAGCGUGGGUAGCAAACAGGAUUAGAUACCCUGGUAGUCCACGCCCUAAACGAUGCGAACUAGGUGUUGGAGAAGGAGACUUCUUUAGUACCGUAGCUAACGCGUGAAGUUCGCCGCCUGG